rnacentral:rRNA from 1 species
GAGUUUGAUCCUGGCUCAGGAUGAACGCUAGCGGCAGGCUUAACACAUGCAAGUCGAGGGGUAUAGUUCUUCGGAACUAGAGACCGGCGCACGGGUGCGUAACGCGUAUGCAAUCUACCUUUCACAGAGGGAUAGCCCAGAGAAAUUUGGAUUAAUACCUCAUAGUAUAAUUGAAUGGCAUCAUUUAAUUAUUAAAGUCACAACGGUGAAAGAUGAGCAUGCGUCCCAUUAGCUAGUUGGUAAGGUAACGGCUUACCAAGGCGACGAUGGGUAGGGGUCCUGAGAGGGAGAUCCCCCACACUGGUACUGAGACACGGACCAGACUCCUACGGGAGGCAGCAGUGAGGAAUAUUGGUCAAUGGGCGCAAGCCUGAACCACCCAUGCCGCGUGCAGGAUGACGGUCCUAUGGACUGUAAACUGCUUUUGUACAGGAAGAAACACUGGUUCGCGAACCAGCUUGACGG